AGAGUUUGAUCCUGGCUCAGGACGAACGCUGGCGGCGUGCCUAAUACAUGCAAGUCGAGCGGAGUCUAGGUGGAAGCUUGCUUCCACCUGGGCUUAGCGGCGGACGGGUGAGUAACACGUAGGCAACCUGCCUGUAAGACCGGGAUAACUCACGGAAACGUGAGCUAAGACCGGAUAGAUGAGCGCUUUGCAUGAAGCGC
rnacentral:rRNA from 1 species